AAGAAAAACCACAAAGUAGCUGGCAAUACAGACAUGUAUCCAUUGAGACUUUUCACUCUCCAGAAGAUGCUCUGGUGAACAUAUGGCCCCUCUCACCCCCACUAAUUUACUCAAUGAACACCCAGUUAUUUACAUACACUUGGAAAGAGAAAUUCCUCCUUGAAUUCACAGAGCUUGAGCUAGAACUAAGGGCACAGUAAUACAUGUAAAUAUCAUGAAAGUGCAGUUUGAUAAGUAUAUUCUUAACUAUGACAUUUUAUAAUUAAAUAUCUGUAACUACUGUAUUUUAUCUAAUCCUGAACAAUAUGGCCUUAUUGAUUCUAGAACUAUUUGAUGCUGCAGGAACAGUAGAAAUGUCCAGGGAUGUGUUUCAAAUCAAGAAUGGAACCUCUGCUUGUUGUCAACAGUUUUUCAGAUAAACUACUUCAACUUUGAUGACACUUUUGCACACUGAAAGCCCACUUGCCUGCAGAGCAGCAGUUGGACCUCACAAUGUGGAUUGUGCCUUCACUGGGAAGGUUCUGUGAUGCCCAUCACCGUGGUUACAUGAGAGUAUAUAUCUUGGCCCCUCCUGCUGCCACUUGCCAUUCAACAUGGGAAACCUGAAAAGCCGAUUCAAAGCAAAGCACUGUUUCUCCCGCUCCUGCUGCCCUUCAGUCGUCCCACGUCUCCCACCCAUCCCUCUCUAUCCCCAGCCUGUUCCCCUGACCCCACUCAUGCCACCUCCUCGCCUCUGGUGCCCCCUGGACCUAUUUAGGUCAUCAACCCCUUCUCGAACACGGUCCCUGCCUGCCCCUGCCGCUUCAUGUCC